rnacentral:rRNA from 1 species
UACGGGGGGGGCAAGCGUUGUUCGGAAUUACUGGGCGUAAAGGGCUCGUAGGCGGCCAACUAAGUCGGACGUGAAAUCCCUCGGCUUAACCGGGGAACUGCGUCCGAUACUGGAUGGCUUGAGUUUGGGAGAGGGAUGCGGAAUUCCAGGUGUAGCGGUGAAAUGCGUAGAUAUCAGGAGGAACACCGAUGGCGAAGGCAGGUCUCUGGGCCAUAACUGACGCUGAGAAGCGAAAGCAUGGGGAGCGAACAGG